rnacentral:misc_RNA from 1 species
UUGAAUUAAACCCUGGUUGGGUUGUGCUGGCCUCUAGGGGCAUGUGCACGCCUAGCCACCGUUUUCAACCACCUGUGCACCUUUUGUAGACCUGGAUACCUUUCGAGGCAACUCGGUUUGGGGAUCGCUGUGCUGUCAAAGUCAGCUUUCCUUACCCGUCCGGUCUACGUCUUUAUAUACCCCAUAAGAAUGUAACAGAAUGUCUAUUUACUGGCCUUCGUGCCUUUAAUCUAAUA